rnacentral:rRNA from 1 species
GAGUGGACGUUACUCGCAGAAUAAGCACCGGCUAACUCUGUGCCAGCAGCCGCGGUAAUACAGAGGGUGCGAGCGUUAAUCGGAUUUACUGGGCGUAAAGCGUGCGUAGGCGGCUUUUUAAGUCGGAUGUGAAAUCCCUGAGCUUAACUUAGGAAUUGCAUUCGAUACUGGAAAGCUAGAGUAUGGGAGAGGAUGGUAGAAUUCCAGGUGUAGCGGUGAAAUGCGUAGAGAUCUGGAGGAAUACCGAUGGCGAAGGCAGCCAUCUGGCCUAAUACUGACGCUGAGGUACGAAAGCAUGGGGAGCAAACAGGAUUAGAUACCCUGGUAGUCCAUGCCGUAAACGAUGUCUACUAGCCGUUGGGGCCUUUGAGGCUUUAGUGGCGCAGCUAACGCGAUAAGUAGACCGCCUGGGGAGUACGGUCGCAAGACUAAAACUCAAAUGAAUUGACGGGGGCCCGCACAAGCGGUGGAGCAUGUGGUUUAAUUCGAUGCAACGCGAAGAACCUUACCUGGCCUUGACAUACUAAGAACUUUCCAGAGAUGGAUUGGUGCCUUCGGGAACUUAGAUACAGGUGCUGCAUGGCUGUCGUCAGCUCGUGUCGUGAGAUGUUGGGUUAAGUCCCGCAACGAGCGCAACCCUUUUCCUUAUUUGCCAUCGGGUAAUGCCGGGAACUUUAAGGAUACUGCCAGUGACAAACUGGAGGAAGGCGGGGACGACGUCAAGUCAUCAUGGCCCUUACGGCCAGGGCUACACACGUGCUACAAUGGUCGGUACAAAGGGUUGCUACCUCGCGAGAGGAUGCUAAUCUCAAAAAGCCGAUCGUAGUCCGGAUCGCAGUCUGCAACUCGACUGCGUGAAGUCGGAAUCGCUAGUAAUCGCGGAUCAGAAUGCCGCGGUGAAUACGUUCCCGGGCCUUGUACACACCGCCCGUCACACCAUGGGAGUUUGUUGCACCAGAAGUAGGUAGUCUAACCGCAAGGAGGACGCUUACCACGGUGUGGCCGAUGACUGGGGUGAAGUCGUAACAAGGUAGCCGUAGGGGAACCUGCGGCUGGAUCACCU